rnacentral:tRNA from 1 species
CAAAGUAUAGCUUAACUAAAAGCAUCCGGCCUACGCCCGGAAGAUAUCAAACAUAUUGAUCACUUUGA